UAGCUCAGGUGGUUAGAGCGCGUCACUGAUAAUGACGAGGUCGCAGGUUCAAAUCCUG
rnacentral:tRNA from 1 species